rnacentral:rRNA from 1 species
AUUGAACGCUGGCGGCGUGCUUAACACAUGCAAGUCGAGCGGUAACAGGCGUAGCAAUACGUGCUGACGAGCGGCGAACGGGUGCGUAAUACAUGGGAAUCUGCCCUUUGGUGGGGAAUAACCCGGCGAAAGCCGGGCUAAUGCCGCAUAAGAUCUUCGGAUGAAAGCGGGGGAUCGUAAGACCUCGCGCCGAUGGAUGAGCCCAUGUCGGAUUAGCCAGUUGGUGAGGUAACGGCUCACCAAGGCGACGAUCCGUAGCUGGUCUGAGAGGACGGCCAGCCACACUGGGACUGAGACACGGCCCAGACUCCUACGGGAGGCAGCAGUGGGGAAUUUUGGACAAUGGGCGCAAGCCUGAUCCAGCAAUGCCGCGUGCAGGAUGAAGGCCUUCGGGUUGUAAACUGCUUUUGUACGGAACGAAAAGCCCUGGGUUAAUACCCUGGGGUCAUGACGGUACCGUAAGAAUAAGCACCGGCUAACUACGUGCCAGCCGCCGCAGUAAAAC